AGAAGUUUAGGCUAAACAAACCGCGGGCCUUCAAAGCCCGAACCAGAGACCACAACCCUCUAACUUCUG
rnacentral:tRNA from 1 species